rnacentral:rRNA from 1 species
UAAUUUGAGAGUUUGAUCCUGGCUCAGGACGAACGCUGGCGGCGUGCUUAACACAUGCAAGUCGAGCGGAGAAUGCAGCAAUGUAUUCUUAGCGGCGGACGGGUGAGUAACGCGUGGGCAACCUGCCUUGUACAGGGGGAUAACACAGGGAAACUUGUGCUAAUACCGCAUAACAUAGCGAAGUGGCAUCACUUUGCUAUCAAAGGAGCAAUCCGGUAUAAGAUGGGCCCGCGUCCG